rnacentral:rRNA from 1 species
CGGCGAGCGAACGGGGAGCAGCCCGGAGUCUGAAUCAGCUUGUGUGUUAGUGGAAGCGUCUGGAAAGUCGCAGGGUACAGGGUGAUACUCCCGUACACUAAAACACACAGGUUGUGAACUCGAAGAGUAGGGCGGGACACGUGGUAUCCUGUCUGAAUAUGGGGGGACCAUCCUCCAAGGCUAAAUACUCCUGACUGACCGAUAGUGAACCAGUACCGUGAGG